CUACGUGCCAGCAGCCGCGGUAAUACGUAGGGUGCGAGCGUUAAUCGGAAUUACUGGGCGUAAAGCGAGCGCAGACGGUUACUUAAGCAGGAUGUGAAAUCCCCGGGCUCAACCUGGGAACUGCGUUCUGAACUGGGUGACUAGAGUGUGUCAGAGGGAGGUAGAAUUCCACGUGUAGCAGUGAAAUGCGUAGAGAUGUGGAGGAAUACCGAUGGCGAAGGCAGCCUCCUGGGAUAACACUGACGUUCAUGCUCGAAAGCGUGGGUAGCAAACAGGAUUAGAUACCCUGGUGGUCCACGCCCUAAACGAUGUCAAUUAGCUGUUGGGCAACUUGAUUGCUUAGUAGCGUAGCUAACGCGUGAAAUUGACCGCCUGGGGAGUACGGUCGCAAGAUUAAAACUCAAAGGAAUUGACGGGGACCCGCACAAGCGGUGGAUGAUGUGGAUUAAUUCGAUGCAACGCGAAGAACCUUACCUGGUCUUGACAU
rnacentral:rRNA from 1 species